UAACGCGUGAGGAACCUGCCUCAAAGAGGGGGACAACAGUUGGAAACGACUGCUAAUACCGCAUAAGCCCACGGCUCGGCAUCGAGCAGAGGGAAAAGGAGUGAUCCGCUUUGAGAUGGCCUCGCGUCCGAUUAGCUAGUUGGUGAGGUAAUGGCCCACCAAGGCGACGAUCGGUAGCCGGACUGAGAGGUUGAACGGCCACAUUGGGACUGAGACACGGCCCAGACUCCUACGGGAGGCAGCAGUGGGGAAUAUUGCACAAUGGGGGAAACCCUGAUGCAGCGACGCCGCGUGGAGGAAGAAGGUCUUCGGAUUGUAAACUCCUGUUGUUGAGGAAGAUAAUGACGGUACUCAACAAGGAAGUGACGGCUAACUACGUGCCAGCAGCCGCGGUAAAACGUAGGUCACAAGCGUUGUCCGGAAUUACUGGGUGUAAAGGGAGCGCAGGCGGGAGAACAAGUUGGAAGUGAAAUCCAUGGGCUCAACCCAUGAACUGCUUUCAAAACUGUUUUUCUUGAGUAGUGCAGAGGUAGGCGGAAUUCCCGGUGUAGCGGUGGAAUGCGUAGAUAUCGGGAGGAACACCAGUGGCGAAGGCGGCCUACUGGGCACCAACUGACGCUGAGGCUCGAAAGUGUGGGUAGCAAACAGGAUUAGAUACCCUGGUAGUCCACACCGUAAACGAUGAUUACUAGGUGU
rnacentral:rRNA from 1 species